UGCAGUCCAAAAAUGUUAAAUGGGAAAUUCUACCUUACUGUCUCAUCACAUGAGCAUGGUAUCAUCUCACAUUAUCACAAGAAGAGGAAUCUCUGAGUAUGCCACAAGGGAGCCUUUUAUAGGGGCUGAAGAAAAGACAUCCGGUUGGAGAUUUUAAAACGGUUUUUUGAAAAAAGUGUCUUCUGAGGUGGUGAAUAAAGGAGGAACAGAAUUUCAGGAAGCAGAGAUGAGGGAAGGAAGUUCCAGUCAGUGGGAAACAAAAUGAUACUGUUGGGAAAACACUACUUUUAAAACUGGGUUCAAUCCCAAAUCAGCAACCAGUUCUGUCCUCUUGAACAAGGAUGGAGUAGUGACUUCAUAACUUCUUACGUGCUGGACUGGAAACUGGAAGUCCUAGGUAACGCUCCUUUUGUACAGACCUGGAAUACUAGGGCACACUUCCCUUUAUUUCACUUCACAGAGACUGGUUUUUACAAGACCUUCUACCAGCAAAAAGGUUAUGACUCGCUG